rnacentral:rRNA from 1 species
UCUGCAACCCGACUCCGUGAAGCUGGAUUCGCUAGUAAUCGCGCAUCAGCCAUGGCGCGGUGAAUACGUUCCCGGGCCUUGUACACACCGCCCGUCAAGCCAUGGGAGCCGGGGGUGCUUGAAGUGCGUCGCCGUGAGGCGCGCCCUAGAGCAAAACCGGUGACUGGGGCUAAGUCGUAACAAGGUAUC